rnacentral:rRNA from 1 species
AUUGAACGCUGGCGGCGUGCCUAACACAUGCAAGUCGAGCGGUAACAGGUGUAGCAAUACAUGCUGACGAGCGGCGAACGGGUGAGUAAUGCUUCGGAAUCUACCCAAUGGUGGGGAAUAACCAGCCGAAAGGUUGGCUAAUACCGCAUACGUCCCACGGGAGAAAGCAGGGGAUCGCAAGACCUUGCGCCAAUGGAUGAGCCGAAGUCGGAUUAGCUAGUUGGUAGGGAACGGCCUACCAAGGCGACGAUCCGUAGCUGGUCUGAGAGGACGACCAGCCACACUGGGACUGAGACACGGCCCAGACUCCUACGGGAGCAGCAGUGGGGAAUAUUGGACAAUGGGGGAAACCCUGAUCCAGCGACGCCGCGUGUGUGAAGAAGGCCUGCGGGUU